UCAAUUAUACAUCAUUUAUUUUUCAUCACCAUUAUGCCCCUAACUACCCACUAACACACUAACCUGUCUAUUCUUUUAGCUUAUGAUUCUCCACGUCACUAUGUCUUCCCCACUCACACACGUUUCUUCAAGCUUUCCCCAUUUUUGAAUUUCUUAAACCUUAAUAACUGUCAUUAAUCGUUUUUAUAUAGUUGAUUCUUUUCUUCAUUUUACUUUUUAGUCUUCAUUCGAGUCGUUCUUCUCCAUUAAUGGUCCAAACUCGAGCUUCAGACGCUGCUGCAAAACGAAAACCUCCUAAAAUGAGGAAGAAGACGGUUCCUACCCAUGUCACUGCAAAAACAGGUUUACCUAGAUCUGAUGAAACGAAAGAAAAUGCGUCAUCUAAAACGAGAGCAGUGGGUGGAACAUCUAGGAAAAGGAAGGCAGCUGAACUAAGCCAUGAUUCGAAGAGGAAAAAACGAGAUUCGGUUGAAAAACCACAGCAAAAUUCAAAGACAUCAAUGUUACUACUGGUCCGUAUAAGGGAAAAAAAGAUCUGAUCCAUUUGAAGUUAAAUUUGUUGAAAAUCUGCAUACUCAAUCUGAUAAUGACUGUGGAAUCCAUAUGGUUUGUGUUGCUGAAUUUUUCAUUGAUGGAAAAGAAAUGGGAUCUGAUUUUGUUGCUAAAGAACAUCGUGCUCGCUAUGCUUCCUCCUUGUAUGCGUAUGGUAAUUGGAAGGAACAUUCUAACAUGGUUAGUGAAGAUGAAUGUCCAGUCAAGUACAAGA